ensembl:lncRNA
GGAACAGGGAUCGGGGGAGUAGGAGGCAUGGUUUGGUGAGCAAGGGAUCCAGUCCUGGAGGAGUCAGUGGAGGGGGCUGGCAUGGGUACCUCUCGACCCCCAGUCACAGGACUCUGGAUGGGGACAGGGGAUGGAGGUCUAGUCCUGGCGAGGGAGAGGUCUGGGACAGGGGACCAAGGAACUCAAGCCCAGACAGAUGUACCUGGGGCAGCAGUGACAGUUGGGAGGAUAGGAGGACAUACGAGGACAGAUACAGCUGGGAUGACAACUGGGAGAGACAGAGGUCCACUGAAGGUAGAAAAAGCUGGAGCAGGUGGGAGAAGGGAUCACAACCUAGCCCCAGCCCUGAUUGUUUUAGCUGGGACUGGGUAAGUAGAUGCCCUGACCUUAGACACAGCCCCAGUCCUGACUCCCAGUCUGUCCCCAGUGUGCAGGUUACCAGAUGCCCCAACACCAGCACCAGCCCCUGGCCUAAUUCUAGCCCUAACUGGCUGCCCCGGCAGCUCAGCCCUGGCUCCUGUAGCAGCAGCACCAGUGUGUCAGACCUGAGUGGGGGGUGGAGUAGCGUUAGUACCCGCUCAAGACUCAUCUUGACUGGGAGAAAAACAACAGGGGUGCCCAGGCGAGCACCAUCUCCCUCACCCACAAACGAGAAACACCAAGCCCCCAGCCUCAAACCUACCAGACCCAACCCCACGGCACAGCCUACAUGUCUCUCAGACAGAGAGCCCAAAGCCCCCCCAAAGCCCAGAGAGGGGAACCCCAGCAGAACUCUGCUACUGCCACUUAUUGGGAAACUACCAGCGAUCAGGAGAGGAACUAAGAGACGAGGGGCAGAAAGAGAGAGGGAGGGCCCUGACCAAACAGAGAAACAGGACCACAAUCAAGACCAGGUCCAGACACAGGACAAGGACCACAACCAAGACCAGGUCCAGACACAGGACCACAACCAAGACCAGGUCCAGGCACAGGACAAGGUCCACAACCAAGGGAAGGAGAGUAUGAAGAAUGGAGCGG